GGGACCGAGAAGCUGCUAGAAGUCUGGUUCUCCUGGAAACAACUCAAUGCAAACCAAGGAUCUGGGGUGUUUCAUACCAUUCUGAGAUCUGAAUGGGGGCAUACCUUUUUGUUUGUUUGUUUUAGGAAGAAAGUCUUGCUCUGUCACCCAGGCUGGAGUGCAGUGGCCCAAUCAUAGCUCACUGCAGCCUCGAACUCCUGGACUCAAGUGUUCCUGCCGCCUCGAACUCUCAAAGUGCUGACAUUACAGGCCUGAGCCACCGUGCCCGGUCGAGACAUUUCAUUUUGAAGACAUGUUGUACCACCCUCUGGCCGAAAGCACUGGUUCUCCUUUUGAAGCUUGCUAGGGAUUACAAUGGAUUUGACUCAAUUCAAAGCUUCUUUUAUUUUCCUAAGGAUUUCAUGAAGCCUUCUCACUAAAGGUACCUGGGAUUUUCAGAAAGAAAUUGAGUUCCUUAAAGCAAUUUUUCCAAAUGGAGCAGUGUAUUAUAUAAGACAUAUAAAUUCUGACUGUUGGUACUUACAUAUUCCAGAUUUCCCAGAGAGUGGGGUAGUAAGCCAGAUCAAACCCUGGAAAUGCUGAUGAGAGAGUUUGACCUAGCAGUUAAGGGAAGAUUCUUUCUCCAUGAAAGACUGUGUCACUGCAGAGGAUGUCACGUGGACUGGAAUUGGUGCCCUGACACCAGGUUCUGUCAUUGAUGCCACACUGUUCAAUCCUUGUGGGUAGUCGAUGAAAGGAACGAAAUCGGAUAGCACUUAUGGAACUAUUCACAUCACUCCAGAACCAGAAUGUUCAUACAUCAGCUUUCAAACAAACUUAAAUCAGACCUCCAGUGAUGACCUGAUCAGGAAAGUUGUGGAAGUUCUCAAGCCAGGAAACUGAUGACCACUUCGUUUUUUUAAGAUUUUUGAUUUUUUUUAUGUUUUAGAGACAGAGUCUCGCUCUGUCGCCCAGGCUGGAGUGCAGUGGCGUGAUCUUGGCUCACUGCAACAUCUGCCUCCGGGGUUCAAGCGAUUCUCCUGCCUCAGCCUCCUGAGUAGCUGAGAUUACAGGCACGCGCCACCAUACCCAGCUUGUUUUUGUAUUUUUAGUAGAGACAGAGUUUUGCUAUGUUGGCCAGGCUGGUCUUGAACUCCUGACCUCAAUUGAUCUGCCUGCCUCGGCCUCCCAAAAUGUUGGGAUUACAGGCGUGAGCCACCGCGUCCAGCCCACUUUGUUAAUCAGAGUUCUACACAGUGCUUUUUUGCCCCAGAUGAUUGAAGGUUUUAAGUGUCUUGAUUGUCAGAGUGUUAUGUUCAAUGAUUAUAAUUUUGUUUUUACCAGUUUUGUUAAGAAGCAGCAACAG
rnacentral:lncRNA from 1 species